AUCAAUUCAUACUAUAACAAUAACAGUAGCUCUCAUGUUUAUUGAACACCUGCUACUUGCUAGGCUGUACACCACAUAUCUUACAAGAAUUACCUCAUUCAUACCCCACAUCAGCCCUUUAGGAUACCCAUUAUAAUUUCCAUUCUACAGAAGAGAAAACUAAAGCUCAAAGAGAUAAGGGACUCAACCCAAGAUAACAGGCAUUUUAAUUUAGUGAUGGAAGAAUCAGUGAAAAGAAGUGAGAGUGAGUAGAUCUGAAAGCAUACCUAGAUUGGAACUUUGCUUUCACAUGAGGAUCUGAUGGUGCAUGGCUAAAAACAUAUACCUUUAUUCUAGGAUCUGUGUGUUGUACUAAUAGAAACGGAUGGUCAUCCCCAAAACCACCUUGUAAGGGAUUCUAGCCAAAUAAAGAGUUUAAUAGGCUCUUUAUUCUGAAGUGCAGCUGACCACACUAGAUCUGCAUUUCCACAUGGCCACAUGUGGUCCCUCCACUGCAGCUGAGCAGUUGGGCCCUCCCAAAUCUCUUCAAUAAAUGGUGCUGGGAAAAUUGGACAUCUACAUACAGAAGAAUGACCACUCU